GACAUAGCUCAGCGGUGUAGAGCAUUGGACUGCGGAUCGAGAGGUUCCCGGUUCAAACCUGGGUGUCCA